rnacentral:lncRNA from 1 species
CGCCCCCGGGUGUUAGCUUUAGGUGCGGCUUCAAACAUAUUCACUACGCCACCUUGCUCAACUACAACACAACCUAACUUACCCAGGCCUAGCUUCGAUCCAUCCUCUUUCACCUUUCAAGCACCAUCUUUCCCAAUGGAACCUACCCAGUUUGCUACUAGAGCUUAUCCUAAGCCACCUCGGUACGAGUUUACUGCAGGGCAGGAGAAAAUUGCAAAAACCCCUGAACAAAGGAGACUUAAAGAAAGAUGAGAAGCAUGAAGUAGAGCCUCAAGAAUAGACAAGGUCUGAGUGGGCAAAAGAGCAUUUCUCACGCUGACCUAUGCAUGUUCCCGUACGUACAUGUACCCUUGGGUUUUGAAACCCUAAAGUUCAAGAAAAAUGAUGGGCAUUGGAAUCCCCUUGCCCACCUCAAAAGGUAUUGCAACCAGUAACACGGAGCGGGUGAAAAAGAAGAGCUCCUCAUGGCCUACUUCGGAUAGAGUUUGGUCGGCAUCACAUCUGAAUGGUAUAUGGACCAACAUAUAUCCCGUUGGCAUAUCUAGGAUGACCUGGCUCAGGACUUUUUCAGACAGUUUCAGUACAACAUCGAGAUUGCCCCAGAUGGAAACUCAUUGACAAAUCUAACGAAGAAAUCCUAUGAAAGCUUCCGAGAGUACAUUGUCAAGUGGCGUGAGCAAGCCUCUAGGGUAAUACCUCGAAUAGACGAAAUUGAAAUAGUCACGAUCUUCCUUCAAGCCCAAGAGGCUGAUUAUUAUCAAAACAUGAUGUAUGCGAUGGGUAAGCCAUUUGCCGAAGCCAUCAAAAUCAGUGAAAUGGUUGAAAAUGAGUUGAAAACAAGAUGAAUCUUGAGUCAGUCUGUUAUAAGGGCUACCUCCCAAGCCAUCCAGGGUGGUUCUGGAGGAGUAGAGAAUCGAAAUAAAAAGGAAGAAACAUCAAUGGCAACUUCGAUUGCGAGAAAACCCCGUCCACCCAGAUCUCUUUUCUCUGAAAUAAUCCCACAACACUAUUUUCCCCAGCAAGAUGUAGCUUACGCUCCUCAUCCAUACACAGUGAUGAAUGCCCAACCCUAUGUCAGACCACAAUAACAAUUUAACCAGAACAAAGCUCCACUUCCCAGAAAUCAGCCUCUUACCAAGCUCACUACAAUUACCGACCUCCAUAAAACAACUUUAGUGCCCAGGAGCUUCUAAGAAAAACAAAUUUCACAUCCAUUGGUGAGUCCUAUUUUAUCAUAUUCCCAAAAUUUGUCCAAAUGUGUUUGUUGUAACUCGUACCCUCGAAUAGGCAAAACCCAAAGUCACCCUCUUACCAAUAUAGCACAUGGUGUACCUAUCUUUUGGGGGCAGAAGGGCAUGAUAUAGAAAAUUGUUGUUGGACCUUGAAGAGGGCUGUGGAAGAUCUGAUAGAACAAAAGAGAAUAGUGCUAAGGGACGAAGAUAUUCCUAAUGUAACCAACAAUCCUCUACUGGCUCACUACAAUGGGCCAGUUAUUGGAAUGAUUUGUGAAGAUAAGGAGUUUGACCCAGCCCUAAAAGCCAUCAUUGCCAUAGCCGAUAUGGAAAAGAAGCCAAAAGUUAUCGCAAAACACGACAAGGGGGAGAAAAAGAGCAUAACCAACCCUCAGAAAGCAGAAAAAAGUGGAAGUUGAAACUGGGGCAGCACCCUAAAAGGAUGCUGUUGUUUAUGUCCCUCAAGGCCGCAAGAAACAACAGAUGUCAUAGAGUCCUCAUAGAAGGUUUGAGUUAAACGAGGGAGCUCAAAUGUAUGUGCCCAUGGGGGCCUACAUGAUGUGGGGGCCAAUAAUUCCACCAAGGCUGAGCGAGCCCAUGGUUAUUGACCGCGCGCUACAAAGGCCCUUGACGGAUCCUAUUGCUGUGCCAUGGAAUUAUAACAAAUCAGUAGUGACCUACAAAGGCAAAGAAAUCUCGGGAGAAGUUCAAGAAAAUAACUCGGCUGAGAAGUAAUUCAAUCUGGAGGAAGUGAAUAAUUCCACAAAGAAGCUUUUCCCACCUAAGAAGCCAGUGAGAGCUGAGGAAGCAAAAGCCUUCUUGCAAAAAAUAAAAAUGGCAGACUACGAGAUAAUCGACCAGCUCCGAAAGUCUCCUGCUCAAGUUUCUUUAUUGUCUUUUCUAAUGGACUCGACUGAACAUCAAAAGGUAUUGAUCAAAACUCUUAACAAAGCAUAUGUACCCAUUGAAACCACUUUAACAGUUGGAGAACAUUAGUAGAUAGGUUUUCUGCAAUUUAUCAAAUCUCUUUCAGCAAGAAUGAUUUGCCCACAGAGGGGGCCGCACACAAAAAAGCUCUUCACCUGACAGUGAAAUGUGAAGGGUAUUAUGUGAAAAGGGUCAUGUUAAAUGGUGGUUAUGGGGUAGAUAUUUUCUCACUCUCAACUCUGCAGCAUAUGGAAAUCAGUACUGAGAGAAUCAGACCCAACAACGUAUGUGUAAGUGCCUUUGACGGCAUAAAGAGGGACAAUAGGCGAGAUUGAUUUGAUCCUGACUAUCGGCCCAGUAGACUUCGAAGUGACCUUCCAGGUUUUAGACAUGGAUAAUUACUACAAUUUUCUCUUGGGAAGGCUGUGGAUCCAAUCAGUAGGGGUUGUGCCUUCUACUCUCCACCAUUGGGUGAAAUUCGAACAUGAAGAUCAGGAGAUUGUGGUUCACGUAGGGUGAUUACUCUCUCUAGGUUUAACUCGUUAAUUAGAACUAUCAUUUCUCAUGAGCCCAUCCCAAUUCCUUGUUAGGUCAAUCUUGAAGACAUAGACUCUCUUUCUUAAGAAAAAAAACAAAUCUACAAAGCUUAAAUCAGUGUUUGCAAUCACCAAUUCAAAGAUUAAAACAUAAAAUCAACCCAAAUAGUAAAUAUCCAUUGUCAAUCUAACCCUAGAUCGCAACACCCAUCAAUUACCCACACUAGGGAUGAGCCAGAACCCUAGCUAAUGGGUUUGUUGCUCAUGUUUGAGGGAGAAAAUGAAGAAAUAGAUGAAGAACAAGGCAUAUUAAUUAAUCGCUAAAUGAAACUACAAGAAUCUAUCAUUAAUUUAAAGCUCAAGUGCCAAAAAUGGCUACAAUAUACGUUCCUACGAGCGCAGCUCAAAUCUGAAUAUUACAGAUAACCUAAAAAUGAUAAAAUGUUCAAUAUAUACUAGGCUAGAAAAACUGGACAAAAAUACCUCUGCUGGGUCAGUGCGGUCUGCAUAUAAUGGAUCACGGCCGUACUAGGAUCUUUGACUUUAAUUCUGGCUUCUCUGAACUUGGACUCCAUGGACCGCGUAGUAUGGACCGCAGCCACGGAGGGAGUUGGCGCGAUCCGCACAAUCAGGACCGCAAACGGCUUUGCUUGGAUUGGCAAUUAUCAAUCUCUUUGAAUCUCUCUCAUCCGUGGACCUCACAGAAAGGUAGUGCGGCCGCAAUUCCUUCACCGCGGACCGCGAGAUAUGUACCGCGGACCGCGAGAUAUGUACCACGGUCGUGUUGCCUGAAGCCUAUUUUUCCAACUCUCUAAAGCAACUAGUGUGGCCGCAUUAGACUUUGCGCAGUUCGCACUAGGCCUGCUUUCCCUCAAAUUGCUUGGUCUUUGAUACUUGAGCAGGUUUCACUCCUUUUGAGCUAAUCUUUGACUUUUCGUCACUUUGUCGAUCAAACAUGCAAUCAAGCGCAACUUAUGAGCCUUUUGGGUCUAUUUUGUAACUAUUUAUAUUCAAAGUAUAGGCAAAUAUGAGCAUAAAAUAUGUUAAAAUCCCAACUUAUCAACUCCCCCAAACUUAACACUUUGCUUGUCCUCAAGCAAACAAAAUGAGACCCACUCUUUAAAGGAAAAUUCAAGUAAUUCUAGUUGUCCUAAAGUAACCUCAACAAGCAUCAAUUGGGACUAACAAUUUCCAAAAAUACGAAUGGAUCAUUAACAACAUUUAAACAUUAAAAACUAUGGAUCAAGUGUGACACAAGAGCAUCAAGAAUUGAAUCAUUAUAUCAAAGAACUCUCCCAAUUACUUUGGUCGUUGUGGAACCCAAACUCACAUAUCCUUAACUCCGUAAGCAAACCUUACCUUUUAGAGGAUGAGCACACAAAUCGAGGUUAAUGGGAAUUCACUCGUCUCUCUCAAGGAAAGAUCACAAGUCUGGCUAUAAGUACCAUAUGCUUGACCCUCAUGUAAGUAUCCCCUAAUGCAAGCGUCAUCCAACUCAAGAUCAUAUAGGGCUUUUAUGGAGUCAAUGUGAAGGCUUUUUGCUCAGGGUAGGACAAGUUGUUGGUUUAAAUGGGUUCCAUCUUUCCUUAAGUACUUCUUUUGAUUUAUUUUGGCACAAUUUUCUUGACUCUUUGAGUAUUUUCACUUCUUUUCAAGGGGUUAGAGAGACACGUUGUCACUCUCUCUUACGUAAUUCAAAAUGUUUCUCCUUUUUCUACUUUUUCCAUACCUUUUUCACUCUUGUUUCUUUUUGUCUUUUUCUUUUCUUUCUUUUUCAUUCCCUUCCUUUUAUUUUGUUUUCGUACCUUUUACCACUUUGAUUUCCUUUCGUGUCUCCUCCCCCCCCCCCCCUUGAGUCAUUUCACUUCUUUCUAAGGGUUUAGAGAGACACAUUGUCACCCUUUCUUUUGCAAUUCAAAAUAUUUCUCCUUUUUCUACUUUUUCCACCUUUUUCUCUUUUGUUUUUCUUGAAUCCCUUUUUAUUCUUUUAUAUAUUGGGCUUUCUUUUUGUCUUUUUCUUUUCUUUCUUUUUCAUUGCCUUCCUUUUCUUUUGCUUUCGUACCUUUUACCACUUUGAUUUCCUUUCUUGUCUCCCCCCAAACUUAGACUUUCGCCAUUACUCAACGGAAGAUUUGGGUGCCAAGAGAGGGUAUAAUUUAGAACGGGUAUAGGCUUGUAGCAUUGGUUUGAAAGAAAAAGGUUUAAGGCUCAAAAGGGUUAGCUAGGGAUUAUAUCAUUGGUAGGCUAUGGAAUUGCUCAACUGUCAUUUGGAUCAAGGAGAGCCUAUAAUCACUUCUCAAAUCGAAUUUCACUCAAAAUUUUGCCUCAACAAACAUUUAGGGUAAGUUAUAGACCAUUGGCUCGGGACUUGGACUCAAAAUUUGAUUUCUCAUGACACACAUUCAAGGAUUGAUAAAGACAUAGAGUCGGGGGCCCACAACAACCUUAGACACGAUUGAGCACACAAUAGUCCCGAAAGACCACAUGAUGAUUGUUUGGUCAACACAAGAGUCUCAAGGUCACUACUUUCACCAUCCUAAACACAACCAUUUGUCUUUGACCAUGGGAUAAAAUGCAAAUGUGUUAGAACCAAAUGGAGCUUUGCUUACUAUCCUAAACACAACCACUUGUCUUUGACCAUGGGAUCAAAGGCAAAUGUGUUAGGCACAAGUGAAGUUUUGCUUGAGGUACCCUUAACUAUAACUACAAAAAACAAAAGAAAAACAACAACGGACUCAAACCCUUAAGAAGGUUGUCACUCCAUUCAUCAUCGGGAAGAGCCACCCAGUUCACACAUUACUCCACCUUUGGAAAGAACUGUGGCAUUAAGAAUACCAAAGGCUUAUUGAAAUAGCAAAAAAUGAAACAAAAAGGCUACGAGCCUAUCUACGAAGCUAAAAAUGAAAUUGUUUUUACGAAAAUAGAAAGUAGAAUGAAUAUUUACAAUAGGGGGUAGAAUAUAUCACGGGGAAUGAAUAUAUACAAUAAUGUAACUUUAUAUAAAGACCAAAGAGAAGAUAAAAAGUACAGUAAAAGUAACUUUAUAUGAAGACCAAUUAGAAAAUCAAUAGUAAACAUAAACUAAGUCAAUAUAUAUAUACAGUCAUCCAAUGGGUUAAAUGUAGGGCGCACCUUCUCAAAUAAGAGCUGGCAUUGUCACAAUGCCAACUAAGCAAAUAAGAACCAAAAUAUAAUGAAAGGAUAUAGGAACUCCCUAAGUCUCAUCAAUCUACAUGGGAACAUGAGCGGUCCGAGGGUCCUCUAUAUGUGCAGGAACGUCAGAUUGGUUGCCGAUCUCCUACUGCUCAACUGCUGGGAUAGGGUCCUGGACAUGGACGACCUGGAUAUUAGGAGCAUCCUGUGGCUGACUGAAGGAGGCCUUCUGUGGGUCUGCCAGCUGGAUGAUCCCUCAUCUGCACUGAGGAGCUUCAUCUUCUUCCUUGGGAGCCUCCGCAUCUACUCCCGCUAUGGCUCGGCUACAGGUGUUGCUGUUGGAGCUGGAUCCCCGAAUAGCAAGUCUAAAGGCAUCUGGUCCACCAUCAGCUUAUUCACAUCCUCUCUGAUCUCCUUCACAGACUCCUUGGAAGCCCGUGUUUUCCGCAUCUUCUUGUGCUCCCGGGAAAGCUCCUUCAGAUCGUUACCCUGUGACUCCACUACCUUAGACAACGCAGUCUGGGUACUUAUGAUCUUUUCCUGGUUCUCCAGGAUCUUCUUCAGCGUAUCCUCAAUAGAUUAUGGAAUCUAAGCUGCCUGUGGUGCUGACUGAGCCUCAAUGGUAGCGGAAAGAGUAGACAAUUUGGAUGACGCAGCUAACAUCCAGUUGUUUAAGCUAUGUAGUGUCUGGCUCAACUGGUGGGCAGUAAUAAGAUGGGCCCGGGAAGAUGGAAUCCUCGGGCCAGCUGAAGUAGAGGCACCAGCAGUAGUGGAAGGUCCUAGAGGCAUAUCUGUGGUAGUGGCAUCAGGCUUAGUGGAAGGCUCUACCGCAACCGGCUCCUUUGACUGGCAAGUUUGGGUAGAGGUAGGUGGCUUGUAAUUUUUGUCUUUUGGGGUUGUCUGGCCCCUUGAAGCUGUACACGAGAAUGGGGCCACUGGCUUUACCUUGACAUCAAAGGGCUUCUUCUCCACCUUUAGAUCCCGAGAGUACAUAUGAGGCUGUUGGGAAAAGGGUAGUUCCGAUCAUGCUCGACCCCCACUGUAUAAAUCACACGGGACAUCACAUUUCCCACAUUGAUAGGGUAGCCCACCAUAAUAGAACCAAUAAGAAUAGCCCGAGCAAGAGUAAUAGUCUGAUCAUGGUAGUGGGGUCAAGUCUACUAUACACGAACAUCUACCACCCCUUAGCCUCAAAAUUGAGAGUCCUCCGAAGUAUUUUGGGGCCAGCUUAUAACCUCUCUGGAAAAGUACCCGGGAUUUUCAGGUACAAAGCUAACCAUGGAUGAACCUCCUCGCCCAUUGCCAACUUCUCAUUGUACAGGGUCUCAUCUUCGUCAUUGAACCCCAAGUACUUAUUUAUUUCCUUUUCAGUAAACACCACAUUCUUGUUCCGCACUUUGAUCACUUUUGUGCCCUUCACGAUGUGGGCCACAUUUCUAUAGAACUCCUUGACCAUAUGCUCAUUCACCUUUAUACAGUCAUCUCUAAAAUGUUCCCAACCCACUCGAGCUCGAAACUGUCUAUGUACAUUUGGGUUUAGGGGUAACAAGUCUCGAUCAAUUAAACCUCUUUCCAGAAUCAGCUUCCAUUUUAGCCACCAUACCCUGAAUUUAUGAAAAGCCACCUGGUUCACAAAUCUGUCUUCCUAGACUGCGGGGUUUCUGGUCCGGUCAACACCCCCAACCUAAGGCACACCACUCUGAGGUUUUUCCUCAUCACUAUUAUUACCACCCUCAGCACCUCCGCCUGCAAUCUCCCCAGAUAAUGAAGCUGUGGGGGAGGUGGAUUACUCACCGUUGCCGGCUACUGAGCCCUCAGAUGACUCAGAACAUAUAUGGAGCUUGGGCAAUACUCACUCCUUGAUUGGUCACCGGUUGUAAGAACCCUUGGUCACUUUCCUUGUGUUCUAUCUAUGUUGGAGAGUGAGUUUUGCUUAUUUUCCAUUGCCUCCCCAGAACGAGUCACCUCGACAGGGUUGUUUGGCACUUCCACCUCUUUGUUUGACCAUUAUCUACAAGCACACAAAUCUGACAUUGUUAGUCUAAGCACAGGCGGUGAAACAGAUGAUGAAAUUGAAUUGUAGGUAGCAGAUCAAAUGUUGCAGAAACAGUUGCUUAGCAAUACAUCGCCACUCAUAAAAAAAGGAGUGCGGCCGCAUUAGGAGCACUGCAAAGGCGAUCGCGAUCUGCAUUGGGAUAGGGUCCUGAAAACCCCCUUUCUGAAUCCCUCCACCACGGGCCGCGAGUGCGGCUCGCGGUGGGCCAGCGCCGGCUGCACAAAGUGCAAUGCAGCCGUGCUGCGUACAAUUCAACUUUCAGACACUCGAACACUAGAAUCGCGGGCCACAUUAUAGCAUCAUGGACCAUAGUCUGCGAAGGGUGCUGUUUUAGGCGCUAAGCUAGGGUUUCAAUUUUUGCAAUUUUUGUUCAAGUUUUCCACCUAACUUGUCCCUACCCACCUUACCCGCUCAUUAUGCAUAGACAGCAUACAAACCCAACAUUUAAAACUUCUCUAAGUUAGCAACUAAAUAAAGAAGAAGAAACUGAAGAGAAGAAAAGGAAUCUAAGGCUACUGGCAUGAAAAUAAAAUGAAACUAUAAAAUUAAUCAAAGAAAGAUGGAUGAAAUGUUACCAGAUUGUGAAGAUGAAGUGAAAUUAAUCAGUCUAAGCAAGAGAUACGAUCAGAAGAGAGUGUGAAUAGUAUCUUAUAGAGGUCUAAGUGUUCAAAUUUUGAAAAGAGUAAGUGGUGACCCCUAAGAUCUAUUGAUAGAAAGAGCAAAGGGACCCAGCCUUACCUACAAGAGCGGCCGCACAAAACCAACCCCGGAUCGUGUUGGGUUUAUUCACUGAAGCUUGAGAAGGCAACCUCCACGGUCCGUACAAAACCAAACCGCAGUCGCUGAGGUCCACCACGGACCGCCUAAAUGGAAUGCGGCCGCGAUGACAAAGUUCAAAGAGCACCUCACUUUACCUUCACCAGUGCGGACCACACAAAGUGCAAUGCGGCCAUAUUGGCAACUCCAGGGACUGUUCAAUUUUUCCAAAAUAUUUUUCACUGCAACACUCAAUCCCUGCAAUAUAUCACAACCAAUUAACUCAAAAAUCAAACCUACACUACAAAGAAAAUCACAGAAAACAAGAAGAAAAAGACAUGGGUUACCUCCAAAGAAGCGCCUAAUUUAAUGUCAUGGCAUGACGCAUGUUACAAUCAUAUUACUAUAAGUCAGGAAGCAAUACCACAUGGCUCUCAUCAAACUCUCAAGGAAGCAAUAAAAAUCACGCCCAACAAGUUGGUUGAGCAUCCGAUUAAUAAAAGGCAAGGGAUAAUAAUCCUUACAAGGCAUGUUCUUCAAUUUUUCAUAGUCCAUGCAACCCUGCGAACCAAUGACUGUUCUUGCAGGAAUCCGCUCAUUCCAAGAACUUGUCACUAUGGUCAUGCCACCCUUCAUCGGUACACAAUGCACCAGAGAAAUCCAAGAUUUGUUAGAAACAGGGUAGACACCACUGCUUGCAUCACCUCAUCCAAUCUUCCUCCAUGCACCAAGAAAGGUUUCACAUAAUUUUCCAAGAUAGUUUUGGACAUACGGAGUGUGGGACUGAGGUGUGGAGAAAGAGGGUUCAAUUCCGACAUCGGUGACUCCUCAAUUGUUGGAUUUGUUAGUGAAAUCUGUUGUUUUCAAGAUCCAAAGACAAUUUACUGGGCUCACAAGAUUCUAUACCAUGUAAAGCAUCUAUACACUUCACUCUACUUGCAUCAUUAUUGACAUCCCGAUUUAGAGGCUCGGCAACAAGGGGAUCUUCAACAUUAAUUUGUAGAACUUGUAAUAUCUAAUAUCACAGCUAUGACAAUUUCCACUAAUGAGCACACCUCGAUGCCAUUAGGUUGCCUCAUGUAUUUGCAAACAGGGAAAACAACCUUCUCAUCACCCAUUCGUAAAGUGAGCCACCCGCUUCAAUAUCAACCAAUGACUUCCCCAUAGCAAGGAAAUGUCUACCCAAUAUAAUCAGUACCUGAUAAUCUACCUCACAAUCCAAGAUGACAAAGUCGGACAGCAAUAUAAAUUUGUCCACCCGGACAAGUACAUCAUUAAUAAUUCCCAAAGGCCGCUUCAUCGACUGAUACACCAUUUGAAGUCUCAUUGAGGUUUGCCUAGGAUACCCAAUUCCCAAAGUCUUGAAGACCGAAUAAGGCAUCGAAUUUAUGCUAGCCCCCAAAACACAAACGGCCUUAGCGAAAUAUGCAAUUCCGAUAGUGAAUGGGAUAGUAAAAGCUCUGGGGUCUUCAAGUUUUGGGGCCAUAAAAUGUAUGAUAGCACUCACUUGAUGAGUCAUCUUAAUUGUUUCACACUCCAUUGACCUAUUCUUUGUUAGCAAAUCCUUCAUAAACUUUUCAUACCCCGGUAUUUGCUCAAUUGCCUCCACAAAAGGCACAUUGAUGGUAAGACUCUUCAUCAGUUCAAUGAACUUUUUGAAUUGGUUGUUACUAUUUUGCUUGGCUAACCAUUGAGGAUAAGGUGGAUGUGGUCUAGGAUAGGGAGCCUUGUCUUUUGGUACAACCAGCUCGGGCAUGCCAAUCACGUGUUCCCUAGACAAGUUCACAGCAUCUUGAGUUCAACCUCGGCCUCAUCAUCAAUAUCAAUGCACACAUCAUUGCUUACAUUUUCUUCAACCACAUCUUCAACAUUUAAAGGUACAUUUUCAUUAUGCAACUCAACAUCAUCUUCCAUAACUUGCUUUUGUCUCGAGGCAUGCACACCAUCGCCUCUCCCGCUUCUUGUUGUAACCGCAAUCACAUGGUUGUUUUUCCCACUCUUUGGGUUCACUACCGCAUCACUUGGUUGAGCACCCUUGGGGUGGGUAUUGAAAGCUUGAGAAAUUUGACCUAUUUUCACUUCCAAGUUCCGGAUAGAUGUAUUAUGUAAAGGCAAUUACGCAUCGGAAUCUUGGUUCUUUUUCAUCAUUUGCUCAAACAUACAUUCAAUUCUCCCCAUAUCACCUCGGAAGAAUUUAGACCUUGAGAAGGAAGAGGGGGUGGAUUGUUCGAUUUUUGGUACAUGGGGUCCUUUGAAAGCCUUGCCCCGAUUGUCUUGGUUCCCACCUUGAUUGUUGUUGUUGUUCCAAUUAUUGUUGUUUCCGUUCAAUUGCCUUGAGUUUUACCUUGAGUACCCUAAUUGUUGUUUUGAUUUUUGUUGUUGCAAUUUUCACCACCUUGUUGUUAGUUUUUAUUAUUCCAAUUACCUCUACCUUGUUGUUGAUUGCCCAAUUCCCUUGGGAUCGCCAUGGUUUAUUCGAAGAGUUGCUCUAUUCUCUUGGUAGUUAUUGACAUAUUGGACCUCUUCGCUUUGAUCAUCAUAGCACUCAUUUGAAUAACCACCACCAUCAUUGUUGUCAUAUUAUUCACAAUUUCCUUUAGGUUGUUGCCCUCUUUGCCUCUUUUUUAGCAUAGAAACACCUUCUAUGGCAUUGAUUUGGCACGGAUUUUAUACUUGUUGCACUUGUACCUUCACCAAUUGGUUUAUAGUUGUGGUAAUCUCGGCAAUAGCUUGGCCAUGAUCGUGCAAUUUCUUGUGCAAAUGGAUGAACGUGGGGUCACCUUGGGGAACAUUUGCUGGGCUUUGCCAUGCCAAAGAAGUGUCAGCCAUGUCAUCCACAACAUCACAGGCUUCAUUGUAAGGAAGCUUCAUAAAGUUUCCUCCGGCCAAUUGGUUCAAAAUACAUUGAUUAGUGGUGUUGAUGCCUCGAUACAUCUCUCCCAUAUUUCAUGCAAGGGUUCGUUGGCUCUUGCGUGAAGGCCAAACUUUCAUCUCAAAGUGCUGCCAUGUGACACAACGAAAGAACUUGGAAAUAAACUUGUCCGGCCAUUCAUCCCACGUUGUGAUGGAAUGGUUGGGGAUCCUUUCUAACCAAUCCAAUGCUUUACCCCAAAGAGAAAACGGGAAAAGCCUCAAUAUCAACGCAUCCUCGGACACGUUUGUUUGCUUGCUACCCCAGCAUGUAUCUACGAACCCCUUCAAGUUCUUGUAGGCAUUUUGAUCGGAGGCACCCAUAAAGUAUCCUCUUUGCUCAAGAAAGGUGAACAUAAAAUUUGUGAUUUGAAAGUUCCCCGCCCGGAUUCGGGGAGGAAAAAUGGCACUCGCAUACCUUUGAUUUGGGAAAACUCUUGGGACCACUCUUGGCGGUGGCAGAGGAGGGUCUAGAAUAGGAUUGUUGUCAAUGGCCUGACGACCUCUAUGUGGAGCUUGAGGUAAGGGAACCUCAUCUUGAUCAAUAUUUUCUACCUCCUCCCCCGUCAUGACAUUUCCAAGAAGGUCAUUAGCAUUUAGAUCCAUUGGUACCUGAGUAAUUGACACAAACAAAAUUAGUAAACAAAAAUGAAAGAGAAAAAAAAACACAAAAGUAACUAAACAAAUAGUCUACACCGUAAGAUCCAUGGCAAUGGCGCCAAAAAGUGAUCACUGCCAACUCGACGCUAUGCCAAGGUAGGAAGAGCGGGUCGCAAUAUCUUUUAUUUGAUAUGAGGGUCGGGAUCGAAUUCCUCAGGGAUCUAGUAGUGGAGUUGGAAUAUCUAUCUAGUUAAGAAAUGUGUGUUCGCCUCAAAUAUCACUUCCAACAUAUUUUGGGAUUUUGAAUUAUAACUACUACUAUCAAUUUAUUUAUUGAAACUAAAUUAUGCUACGAGCUGAUUGCUAAAGUUUUAUCUAAUGGGAAGAAGGGUACUAGGGUCGUGACAUCUAGGUGGCUAUUUGACGGGUAAAUGUUACUAAGGUUCAAUUGACAUAAUUGGGACUUUCACUCAGUAGAGAGAGUGAUUUUCCCCAAUUGGCUCUCUCGAGACCAAAUAGGUAGGCAAAUUAGAUCAAGAAAAUAGGGUUCAAGUAGGGUGAUAACUCUCUCGAGGUUUAACCCAUUAAAUGGGACUAUCAUUUCUUAUGAGUCCAUCCUAAUUCCUUAUCGGGUCAAUUCUGAAGAUAUAGACUCUCUUUCUCAAGAAGAGUCAAAUCCACAGAGCAUAAAUCAGUGUUUGCAACCAAUAUAAAAUCAGCAUAAAUAGUAAAUACCCACAGUCAAUCUAACCCUAGAUGGAAACACCCAUCAAUCACCCAUGCUAGGGUUGAGCCACAACCCUAGCUAAUGGGUUUAACUACUUAUGCUUGAGGGAGAAAAUAAAAUAGAUGAAGAAAAGGCAUAUUAAUUAAUUGCUAAAUAAACUACAAGAAUCUAUCGUUAAUUUAAAGAUAAAGUGGAAAAAAUGGUACGUUCCUACGAGCACAACUCAAGUCUGAAGAUAACAGAUAACCUAAAAAUGGUAAAAUAUUCUAUUUAUACUAUGCUAGAAAAACUAGACAAAAAUACCCCUGGGGGGUCAGUGCGGCCGCAUAAAAUGGAUCGCGACUGCACUAGGCUCUUUGAAUUCAAUUCUGGCUUCUCUAAACUUAGGCUCCGGGCACCGCAUAUAAUGGACUGCAACCGCAGAGGGAGCUGGCGUUGUCCACACAAUCAGGACCGCGGACUAUUUUGCUUGGAUUUGGCAAUUAUCAAUCUCUCUGAAUCUCUCAUCUACGGACUGUACAAAAAGGUAGUACGACCGUAAAGCCUUCACCACGGGCCGCGAGAUGUGUACUGCGGCCGCGUUUCCUGAAGCCUGUUUUGCCAACUCUCUGAACCAACUAGUGCGGCCGCAUUCGAUUUUGCACGGUCUGCAAUAGGCCUCAUUUCCCUCAGAUUGCUUGGUCUUUGAUACUUGAGCAGGUUUCACUCCUUCUGAGCCGAUCUUUGACUUUUCGUCGCUUUGUCGAUCAAACCUGCAAUCAAGUGCAACUUAUGAGCCGUUUGGGUCUAUUUUGUAACCAUUUAUAUUCAAAUCAUAGGCAAGUAGGAGCAUAAAACACAUUAAAAUCUCAACUUAUCGUAAACCUAAGCCAAAAUUAGAUGAUACUGAGCCGGUUAACUUGGGUACUUCUGAAGAAGUCAGGGAAACCAAGAUAAGCAUCCACACAAACUAAGAGUUGAUUUGGUGGUUCAUAAAUUGCCGAACUACCACGACUAUCCCCCUGUCCAGCAAAUGCAGAGAAAGUUAAAACUGAUAUCAUUGACAAGAUCAAAGAAGAGGUCACGAAACAGUUGAAAGCGGGGGUGAUCCAAGUGGUUCGCUACACCGCAUGGCUAGUUAAUGUAGUUCCAGUGCCAAAGAAAGACGAAAAAACUUGAGUGUGUGUGGAUUACAGAGAUAUAAACAAAUCAAGUACCAAGGAUAACUUCCUUUUGCUAAACAUCCACAUCCUUGUUGAUAACUUCGCCAAACAUGAUAUACAAUUCUUUGUGGAUUGUUAUGCAGGAUAUCACCAGGAGUUGAUGGAUGAAAAGAAUGCAGAGAAGAUAGCUUUUACCACACCCUGGGGCACACACAUUUACAGGGUCAUGCCGUUUGGUCUGAAGAACAUUGGGGCGACCUACAUAUGGGCCAUGGAUGCCAUUUGUCAUGAUAUAAUGCAUUAAGAAAUAGAGGUGUAUGUGGAAGGCAUGAUCAUCAAGUCCAGGACGCAGGAUGACCAUGUUCAGGAUUUGAGAAAAUUCUUUGAGCUGCUACAUAAAUAUGAUCUGAAGCUGAACCCAUCCAAGUAUGCAUUUAGGGUAACAUCCGGCAAACUCUUGGGAUUCAUAGUUAAUCGGAGAUGCAUCGAGUUAGAUCCAACAAAGGUAAAAUCUAUUUGGGAUUUGCCUUCUCCAAGAACCAAGAAAAAUGUUAUGAGCUUGUUGGGAAGAUUAAACUACAUCAGCCGAUUCAUUGCCUAGCUGACAUCUACAUGUGAACCCAUCUUCAAGCGGUUAAAGAAAGAUGCAACAAUUAAAUGGGCAGACGAAUGUCAAUAAGCUUUUGACAAAAUCCAUGAAUAUAUAUCAAAGCCGCUAGUCUUGUCCCACCUGAGCCAGGAAGGCCUUUGUUCUAGUAUCUAACAGUCUUGGAAAACUCUUUUGGCUGUGUCCUCGGGCAACAUGAUGUGAUCGGAAAGAAGGAGCAGGCCAUUUACUAUCUGAACAAGAAGUUUACCAGUUAUGAAGCCAAAUACACUUUAUUGGAAAGAACUUGUUGUGCCUUAACUUGUGUCGCUAAGAAGCUAUAGCAUUAUCUACAAGCCUACACCAUUUACCUCAUAACCGGGUUGGAUCCCUUAAAAUACAUAUUCCAGAAGCCAAUGCCCACAGGAAGGUUAGCAAAGUGGCAGAUCUUGCUCACUGAAUUUGACAUAGUCUAUGUCACUCGCGCGGUAAUGAAAGCCAGGCGUUAGCAGAUCACCUAGCUGAAAACCCAGUAGAUAAUGAAUACCAACCUUAGGGAACCUACUUCCCGGACAAAGAGGUAAAUUCAGUUGAGGCAAUAUUCGAAGACACCAAUUCUCGGAAAAGGUUCUUUGAUGGGGUAUUAAACGCAAAAGGUGUUGGAAUUGGGGCAAUCUUGAUCUUACCCACUGGUCAGCAUUAUCCAGCCACAACCUGGAUUUAGUUCUUCUGUACAAACAACACUGUGGAGUACGAAGCAUGCAUUAUGGGUAUGAACAUGGCAAUCGACCAGGAUAUCGAAGAACUGUUAAUUAUGGGAGACUCGGAUCUAAUUAUCCGACAAGCUCAAGGAGAAUAGGGUACCUGAGAUGUCAAGCUUAUUCCUUAUAGGAAACAUGUGGCAGAUCUUGGAAAGCGAUUUAAGCCGAUAGAGUUCAGGUACAUCCCCCGUUGCCACAAUGAACUAGCUGAUGCACUUGCCAUUUUAGCCUCGAUGCUGCCACACCCAGGCAAUGCCCACAUUAAUCCCUUGGAAAUCCAAAUCAGGGAAAGGCACGGCUACAGUAAUACGGUUGAGGUAGAACCAAAUAUUCAGCCAUGGUAUUAUGACGUCAAAAAAAUUUUGAAAACAAAAGAAUACCCCGAGCAAGCCAUUGGAGACCAAAAGAGAACCAUUAGAGGGCACACAAGUGGUUUCUUCUUUAGUGUUGAUAUCUUGUACAAAAGGACCCCAAACCUCAACUUGUUAAGAUGUGUGGACGCCGAAGAAGCCGAAACAAUCAUGUAUAAAGUGCACACAAUAGUGUGUGAACCCCACAUGAACGGGUAUAUUUUUGGAAAAGAAAAUCCUUUAAGCGGGUUAUUAUUGGAUGACUAUGGAAAAAGACUGCUUCAAUUUUUUUCGGACAUGUCAUCAAUGCUAGGUGCAUAGUGAUUUGAUUCAUGCAUCGCCUACAGAAAUGCAUUCUAUAUCAGCACCUUGGCCAUUCGUUGUUUGGGGCAUGGAUGUUAUUGGGCCAAUUGAGCCGAAAGCUUCAAAUGGACACAGAUUCAUACUGGUCCCAAUCGACUAUAUCACGAAGUGGGUUGAAACAAUCACGCUCAAAUUUAUCACCAAGAAAGUUGUGGUAGAUUUCGUGCACUCCAAAGUCAUUUUGAUAUCCCUGCAACCAUCAUCACAGAUAAUGGUGUAAACAUAAAUAGUCAAUUGAUAGGAGAGGUAUGCAAACAAUUCAAAAUAACGCAUCAGAACUCUACCUCUUAUCAACCUAAAGCCAAUGGUGCCAUCGAAGCAGCAAAUAAGAACAUCAAAAAGGUUUUGAGAAAUAUGAUUCAAAGUUCCAGGCAGUGGCAUGAAAAGUUGCCUUUUGCAUUGUUGGGGUAUCGCACUACUGUGCGCACAUUGGUCGGAGCAACCCCAUACCUUUUGGUUUAUGGCACUGAUGUGGUAAUACUCGCGGAAGUUGAAAUCCCUUCUCUCAAGAUUAUUCUUGAGGCUGAAAUUGAAGACAGUGAGUGGGUCAAAACCCGUUCGGAACAGUUACCUUGAUCGAUGAAAGAGAAUGGCUGCAGUCUGCCACAGACAGUUGUAUCAAUAAAGAAUGGCCCGUGCCUACAACAAGAAAGUGUGGCCUAGAAAUUUUGAAGUGGGACAACUCAUUUUGAGGCGUAUUCUCCCCCAUCAUCAGGAAGCCAAAGGAAAAUUUUCUCCCAACAGGAAAGGUCCAUACAUCAUUUGAAAGUUGUUCCCGAAAAGGGUGUUGUAUAUGGGAGACAUUGAAAGGAAUAACCCUAAAACAUCUGUGAAUGUGGAUGCAGUCAAAAGGUAUUAUGUCUAAUCAUUCUACAGCAAUAGCAUCGUAUGAUUGGGAUGACGAAUGCUUUUAUUCUCGCUGCCCUAAACAUUCCAAUCUUUUGUAAACCCUUUGAGCCUGUUACUUUUCUUUUAUUGCCCUUUUUAGAACUUGAAUGUGUUUGUAAUUAAAAAAAAAAAAAGAAAAGAAACCAAAAACAAAAACAAAAGUAAUCAAAAACAAAAUUAAAAAAAAUAUUUUCCCUGAACUAUGUUCGACUUGAUUCCGAAAGGAUACAUAAGCAGCCUCUCUUUGGGGUUCAAUCACAACCAAAUAAAAACCCAAUUUUCCUUAAAAAGUAAAACUUGGGCAGAUGUUAUAAUGGUCGGCUAUGAUCCCGCCCGAGUGGCUCCAAAGUUGUAAUUCGAUCCAAUUUAUUCACCCAAAACCUUGUUCAAGUCCUUCGGAUCAAUCGGCAAAAGGUUUUCGAGAUCCAAGAACGCAGUUGUUUGGAUCUCAUGCAACCAGGAUGAGAGAAAUAAAAUGAGAGAGUCUUAUUGGUGAAAACAUACGGGCACCGUGAGGUGAUGGCAAGUAGAGAAAUUGAAAAUGAGAGAGUCUUAUUAGUGAAAACUCAUAAAAGAGCAUUAUAAGGCGAUGGUAAGAAGAGAGAUUAGAGAGGUCGAUUGGUGAAAACCCGCAAAGGGCACCGUCGACCAAAAAGAAGAAAUCCCUCACCACUAUUGGUAUUGAAUGAGUCCUGGCAAGGUUUCUUAGUUUUGAAACACGGGUCGCAAUGUGGUUUAUGAGAAGUUGAGAUAGUGUGUGCGGAUCGGUCCCCUAGUCCAAGAAACAUGUCAUGUCUAUUGAAGUCUGCAUGCACCCUCUAAUACGAACUUCUUUCCUCCCUAAAAGGGGCACUUCUCUUUUUAUUCAUUUUCUUGUCCUUUAUUUGCUUUUCCUUGAAUCCCUUUCGGUCUAAUUUUCUUUUCGAAACUAAUUCAACAAAGGUAACAAGAUUGGUUUUACAAGUCCUGCUUAGUAACGUCCAAGUCCAAAGAAAGUACCCAGCCUCAGCGAGUGUAUCAAGCCAACCCCGACUGGCCAUGAUGGCCGAUGCUCUGAAACCUUAAGUUAUUGAAAAUGAAAGGAAGCCAAGGCAAAAGCCCCUAGAGGCAGAAUAAAGUGAAAGGAUAAAAGUGUCAUACGGGCGAGCCUUCACGAUAAAUUUUAGAAAAGUUGAGUCCAUCGAUUUAGGAAAGAGAUCAAUCUUUUGAAAAGCUAGGAAGCAGCAAAGGUUCUCACCAAAAGUUAAGUUGAGAUUGAGCUAUAAAAACCAUAAAGGCAACAAAACAAUCCAUUGUUUCAAACUAACAAUUGCUCUUUGUUUGAAAACAGGAAACUGGUGCAAUCCAAAACAACCUUGCAAGAAGCAGGUGCAACCAAAAGAAAACUGCACAAGGGAUAGAAAUAGCUUUGCAGCAAUAAUCGAUCUGAAAGGGAAGUCUCUUCCAAAUUCUUUCCUACGUUUUAAUUCAUUUUUUUGAAAUUAAAAAAAAAAUUGAAAAAUUCAAAAUCAUAAUAGCAUAGAGCCUCCAAUCUCUAGCUGCAUCCGUUCCAAAAUAGGGCCCCAUUCCCUAGUUGUCCCUGGCAUAACCCAAGGACAUUUUUUCUUUUCUUCCGACAUAACCUGUGGACCCUCCCUGGCAUAACCCAGGGACCUUUUUUUUUCUUUUCUCCUGUCCCGUGGACCUCCCUGGCAUAACCCAAGGACCAUUUUUUUUUCUUUUCUCCUGGCAUAACUCGUGGACCUCCCUGGAAUAACCCAAGGACCUUAUUUAUUUUCUCAUGGAAUACCCAUGGACCUCCCUGGCAUUAUCCAAGGACCUUUUUUUUCUCCCAGCAUAACUCAUAGACCUCCCUGGCAUAACCAAGGGUCCUUUUUUUCUUUCUUCUUUUCUUCCGGCUAAUCCGUGGACGUCUCUGGCAUAACCUAGGGACCUUUUUUUUCUUUUCUCCCGGCAUAACUCGUGGACCUCCCUGGCAUAACCCAAGGACCUUUUUCUUUUCUCCCUGCAUAACUCAUGGACCUCCCUGGCAUAACCCAGGGACCUUUUUUCUUUCCUCCCGGCCUAUCCCGUGGACCUCCCUGGUAUAACCCAAGGACCUUUUUUUAUUUUCUCCUUGCAUAACCCAGGGACCUUUUUUCUAUUAUCCUGGCAUAACCGGUGGACCUCCCUGACAGAACCCAUGGACUUUUUUUUCUUUCCUCCUGGCAUAACCCUUGGACCUCCCUGGCAAAACCUAGGGAACUUUUUGUUUUCUCCAGGCAUAAAUCAAGGACCUUUUUCUUUUUCUCUCGGCAUAACCCCACGAACUUUUUCUUUUCUCCCAGCAUAACCCGUGGACCUCCUUGGCAUAACCCAAGGACCUUUUUUUCUUUUUCGGCAUAACCCGUUCAGAUUUCCAGCAUAACCUAGCAAUCCUCCCAGUCAAGGGCUUCACUCCCUAUUCCCAAGGAUACACAAUCCAGAUUUUUAUUUUUUCAAUAAAGAAAUAUGUUAGAUUUUUGUUGCAAAUAACUCACGAAAUUUUCCUAUUGAAAACUAGGGUAGAAAAAAUUUGCUCGUUUGUUUGUUUUGAUAUCUGAGCAUGUUUUACCUCGAGGCACAGGGUUCGAGAUGUCCAAAAGAAUGAUUCUUAAUCAAAAAUAAAGAAAAGAAGAGAAAAAAAUAAAAGAAGUGAACUCGGAGUGCUAAAGCGGAGAAAGAUGCAGACUGCUCGAAAUCUGAUUGAAGUCACAAGGUUCGCAUGUCCCGUGUUGAUCCAAAAGCUAAAGAUUGAACCUGUGGUUGCAACUAACGAGCAUCAAGAUUCAGAUAGGUGUCCACAACAAGAACCAGCUAAGACUAAAGAUCAAGAUUCAAUAGGUUUAUAGAUAAGAAUCUUGUAACUCGUAGUUUAUUAGACUUAGCUUGCUUAGCUUUUUAUUUUCCAUUUUUGGUGCAAUAAGGAGUUCGGCAAGCAGCAAUAGCAGCAACAGCAAAGUCAUAGCUUCCCGGUAGUCCCAGUUACAAAAACUUCUAGAACUACACUGACCUAAUUUCUUUGUAGCCAAGGAUAUAUAGGCAAUCUUUGAAAUAAUGUUCGGUCAAACUCUUUUCAAAAAAUACUUCUCAUGGAGUGUCAAGCGGCCAAAAAUCCUAUAAUGGCUCAUUUUACCUUUGCCGGAAAAUCCUUCGUGUGUCCGAGCAAAGAGGGGCAGCUACGAGCACGUGAUUUUUUCCUCAGCUGAAUUGCUCCUACAGGAUCCCAAAAACUGGAUUUUUUCUUUUAGUUAUUUCUUAUUUUUAGGAAUUAUCGUAGAAUUUUCCUAAUUGUUGCAUUUUGUGUGCAUGUUUAAUUUUAUUAUUAGUUCAUAAAAAAAUACAAGAAAUAUGUUGCAUUUACAUUUAGGAUUUAAUUUUAUAUUUUGAGAUUAAUUAGUAAAUUAGUAUUUUAUAAAAAUCGGAAAAAUCACCAAAAAAUAACCUAUUUUACAUUUUUAUUGUUUAAUUUUGAAUUUUGGUAGUUUUCUUUAAAUUAGAUAUUUUUUAAUUAGUUAUCUUAAUUAUUAUUAAUUAGUUUUUUUAAUAGGCUAAUUUAUAUUUGAUAGUUAAUUAUCCUUUAUUUUAAAUUAAAAAAAAGAAAGAAAAUGAUUAAAAAGAGAAUUUGUAAAAGAAAGCGAAAGGAGUUGAAGAAGAUCAAAGAUUUUGGGCCAAAUUAUUUGUAAUUGCCCAAGCCCAAACCAAAUUCCCCCUGAAACUUGUUGAUCCAAGACCAGAUCCGCCUAAAACCCGGUCCAGCGGUUAAGUAAGUCAAACGACCUCGUUUCCUUGAGUCCAAUCCUAGCCCUUGAUCUAUUCCAAUCGGACAGCUCUGGACUGGGGUUUGUAUUAUUAUAAGACUGUCCGCAUUUUCCCCUACCCCCUUAAGUCAUAUCUCAACUCCACCCUUCUUCAGAGACAAAAACAAAACCCUAAAAGCACCGCCUCCAUUUCCCCACGGCCCUAGCCGGCGGCGCCACCACCAAUCGCCCCCAAAUCAACACCAUGGAACCUUCACACCCUCAUUUUCCCUAAUUUUCAACUCUUUUCCUUCGAAACUUGCCAGAAUCUCUCGAAUCUUAGAUCAAAGCUCAAAACCUAGAAUUCCAAAACCCCAAAUCGGCGGGUCUAUUUGAAAAUUUGAGAUUGAAAUCGACUUUAUUCAUGUGUUUUCAUCUGAGAACACAUGAUUAAGGUCCAUGCCGAUCAGAAAUCGAAGAUUCCGUUGAAGUUUUCAAGUCAUUCAUUCGUCUAGUUUAGGUACUUUUCAACCUUUUUCUUUUUUUUUUCUUUCUUUUCUUGCAUUUUUUCGUCUUCUUCCUUGAUUCGGUUCACUUGCAUGUCUUGUUCUGUCUCUUCGCUUCCUUUCUUCAUUACGUGUUCAUUUUUUUUUUCAACUUUUCUGUCUGCUUAAUAAGCCUAAUGAAAAGUUUAGCUUAUGUGUUUAGUUAAUUAGUUCAUUUACUCUUUUCUUUUGUUUGGUUUUCAUUUUAUAAAGUUUUCUUGUCUUUCUUGUGGGAAAUUUUGGCUAGCCUAUUAAAAACUGUUUCGUUGACUAGGGAUCGAGUUAGAUUAUGAAAUCUGAAUGCCCAAAAAGAAAUUAAAUUGGGUUUACAAGACCCAUACUGAAUGGAUUUGGGUCAAUUUGACCCAUGUUAUGUCUAGGUUCUUAAGGUAAAAAUAGGGGUCUUAAAGGGUAGAUAGGAAAUCUAGGUGAAAAAAUCUCUUUUAACUGAUUGAGGAAGCUUCUUAGAAGCUGGGGUGGGGACUAAUGUGAAAUUUGAUUUCUGAACCUAAGGCCAUCUAAGCAAGAAUGAAAAUAUCAAAAGGGUAGAAGUACAAAUCUGAAUUCUUUUAUGCUGCCCUAAUACCUUACCUAUAAAGGCACCUUUUCUUCCUGCUCAAGUAAGAAAUUAACAGAUAAAAGCUCGGCAAAACUGAAAUGGCUGAAAACUUGGAAAGAACAAUGAUGUCCCUGCAUUUUCUUUGUGAAAAACUGCUCAAAAUUUUUGUUUAGUGUUGAUUUUCUGAUCCUCUUCACUAGCUAGAAUCUCUGAAAAUCUAAAUUCUGCAUCUGGUUGAAGAUGGUUUGAUUUUGGGGUUUUGAAAGUUGGGUUUUGAGCUGCUGAAGGGUUUUUACUGUUUCAUUGAUAUUGCUAGGUUCUUGUUCAUUUGUUGUCUACUGCUUCCUCACGUCAUUCUCCUUUCAAUUUUCAGGUAUCUCCCAUCCCUUUUGACAUGUGAAAUGGAAGAACAAGAGAUUAUUCGAUUAAAUGGCAAGCUGUGUCAUAUUAGCUUGUAAAUGUAGUGUCUUCUAUUUCUGGAAAUCAAUCAAAUUUUAUAAUUAGAUUGGUUUUCUUGCUACAUCGGUUUCUUUCUGUUUCAUUUUGAGUUUGGUUGUAAGUUUGGACGGAAUGUGAGCUUUAGCCAAUUAGUAUAGAUGAGCUUAAGUUCUGUGUUCGUAUAAAUGGGCUUUUAAAGGCUUUUGUAAAAACUCAUUUGAUUUUCGUAGGUUUGGGAUACGUGUUUAGUUUCUGCUAGGACCAGUACUGUUUCAAUAUUGAUUUAUAUCUAAAUGUGUUAAAAAUGCUAAGUAAUGGUUUGCUUGCUUAUAGCUAGAAAUUCUUACAUUUGGUUUCUUUUAGAAAAUUUUGGCAUAAUUAUAAAUCUUUGAAUGUAAAAGGAGAAGCAAUUUGUAUAAAUACUUGGUUAUCACUUUAGGAAAUCUAAUCUCAGUAUAUAAUGUGUGUGGAGUUCAAAGGUGUUUUUGCAUCUGCUUUAAAGAUAUCAGUACUCAUCUGAAUUCAAAGAUUGACAUGGGACUUGUGAGGUCUUUCC